GUAGGGAUGAGACGUUGAGGACAGGUUUAAUUUUGGCUUUGAAGCUGAAGUAGGAGAGAUUGGAGCAGAUAUGA